GUCUCCCGUUCCUCUAUGCUUCUUUAUCUCGCGUAAGGAAUGCUCCCUGUCUCUUCUGGGGCUUGAAAAGGACUCUGGCCUCCACCUUGAAACCGUUUCUCACGAUGGUUAUGCGCGAUCCACCCAACAGGAAUUUUGUUUUGCCAGGUUUGCGAAACCGAAGCACAGCGAUUCCUCCAACACGACGUAUCCAACGUGAAGAUUCCUCAGAGUGAAGUACACGGAUGUGACAUCUUUUCUGCUGAAGAUCUCGUAAACUUUCAUCGUCCGAUCUCUAGAACAUAAAACCGGUGAUAAUAAAUACCAAGACAGAUGUAACGAUCCAGGGAAUGGCAAGCUUAUGCACCUCAUCUCUUUGCUCUCGUAGUAAGGAUUAUUGACUAUAGGUCUUCCCGUCGAGAGCAUUAAGUUUGCCAUCAAAGACAUCUUGCCGGCGAACACUGCGUGUUCAGGCGUGUUCUUCUUGAUCCACUCGAACAGUUCCUCUUGCUCGAUAUCGCUGUACUCGCCUUAUUACAUAUAUCAUAUUUUUAUACGAUGAAAGAUUAGGUAAUAAAGAGCUUGUUUAUUAACUUUCGGAGGCUGGGCCAAUUUUGACUCACGCGAAUAAUUCACAUUUAUUACUUUUCAUAAAAAUUAUACUUAUAUAUCGUUAUUAUUCUGUUAAAUUAUAUGAAAAUAUACGUUUACAUUAUUUA